GAUGAAGAACGUAGCGAAAUGCGAUAAGUAGUGUGAAUUGCAGAAUUCAGUGAAUCAUCGAACCUUUGAACGCACAUUGCGCCCCAUGGUAUUCCGUGGGGCAUGCCUGUUCGAGCGUCAUUUACCCCCUCAAGCUCCGCUUGGUGUUGGGCGUCUGUCCCGCUUCGCGCGCGGACUCGCCCCAAAGGUAUUGGCAGCGGUCGUGCCAGCUUCUCGCGCAGCACAUUGCGCUUCUCGAGGCACCGGUGGGCCCGCGUCCAUCAAGCUCACCCCCCCAGUUUGACCUCGGAUCAGGUAGGGAUACCCGCUGAACUUAAGCAUAUCAUAAGCGGAGGA
rnacentral:misc_RNA from 1 species